rnacentral:rRNA from 1 species
AACGGGUGAGUAACACGUGGGUGAUCUGCCCUGCACUUUGGGAUAAGCCUGGGAAACUGGGUCUAAUACCGAAUAGGACCACGCGCUUCAUGGUGUGUGGUGGAAAGCUUUUGCGGUGUGGGAUGGGCCCGCGGCCUAUCAGCUUGUUGGUGGGGUAAUGGCCUACCAAGGCGACGACGGGUAGCCGGCCUGAGAGGGUGACUGGCCACACUGGGACUGAGAUACGGCCCAGACUCCUACGGGAGGCAGCAGUGGGGAAUAUUGCACAAUGGGCGCAAGCCUGAUGCAGCGACGCCGCGUGAGGGAUGACGGCCUUCGGGUUGUAAACCUCUUUCAAUAGGGACGAAGCGCAAGUGACGGUACCUAUAGAAGAAGCACCGGCCAGCUACGUGCCAGCAGCCGCGGUAAUACGUAGGGUGCGAGCGUUGUCCGGAAUUACUGGGCGUAAAGAGCUCGUAGGUGGUUUGUCGCGUUGUUCGUGAAAACUCACAGCUUAACUGUGGGCGUGCGGGCGAUACGGGCAGACUAGAGUACUGCAGGGGAGACUGGAAUUCCUGGUGUAGCGGUGGAAUGCGCAGAUAUCAGGAGGAACACCGGUGGCGAAGGCGGGUCUCUGGGCAGUAACUGACGCUGAGGAGCGAAAGCGUGGGGAGCGAACAGGAUUAGAUACCCUGGUAGUCCACGCCGUAAACGGUGGGUACUAGGUGUGGGUUCCUUCCUUGGGAUCCGUGCCGUAGCUAACGCAUUAAGUACCCCGCCUGGGGAGUACGGCCGCAAGGCUAAAACUCAAAGGAAUUGACGGGGGCCCGCACAAGCGGCGGAGCAUGUGGAUUAAU